rnacentral:rRNA from 1 species
CCCUUAGAUGUCCUGGGCUGCACGCGCGCUACACUGAUGUGUCCAGUAAGCACCUAACCUCUUCCGAAAGGAACGGGUAACCUUUGCAAAGCACAUCGUGAUGGGGAUAGAUUAUUGCAAUUAUUAGUCUUGAACGAGGAAUUCCUAGUAAGCACAAGUCAUCAGCUUGUGUUGAUUACGUCCCUGCCCUUUAUACACACCGCCCGUCGCUCCUACCGAUUGAAUGUUCCGGUGAGCUCUUCGGACUGCGCGGUCUGCAGUUUCUGCGUUCCGUGCGGAAAGUUGCGCAAACCUUAACAUUUAGAGGAAGGAGAAGUCGUAACA